GCGAUGUGGUUGAUGGCAUCAUAAUGUGGAAGAGCACACCAAAGUCACUGCUCGUUUUCUUCUGCAUCUUGGUUUUCAUUUUGCUGCUAGAGAUGAUGAGUUCGUUCAUUCCUGUUAUCAUCUUCCUCAUGGGUGUCAUCUCCUACUUCUAGAGUUCAGAAUUACCGCCCCGACAUGGCUAUCUCUCAGACGACUUCUACAACAGAUUUCGACCUUAACGAAGAGACCGGCACAAUCUAGUCUGGUUCCACACCAUGAGAAAGGAUUGGCGUGGAAGUGAAGCAUGGUCUUAAGCUCCUCUCGAGAUUCUCGGAAUGUUUGAGCGUACUUGUCUUCUUCAUGAAAUGUUGCCUCCCGGGAGAAUAUGUUAACAAAUCUACGUAUGAACAUUUAGUUAUUAAGUAAAAGUAAAAUCAAAAUUUUAGCUACAAAUUGAGAGAUUUUGUUUUCCCAUUCUCUAACAUUUACCGGAA